GAUGAACGCUGGCGGCGUGCCUAAUACAUGCAAGUCGAACGCACAGCGAAAGGUGCUUGCACCUUUCAAGUGAGUGGCGAAUGGGUGAGUAACACGUGGACAACCUGCCUCAAGGCUGGGGAUAACAUUUGAAAACAGAUGCUAAUACCGAAUAAAACUCAGUGUCGCAUGGCACAAAGUUAAAAGGCGCUUUGGCGUCACCUAGAGAUGGAUCCG
rnacentral:rRNA from 1 species